AUGGCCCCGAAAGCCGACAAGGGAAAGUGCGUGAAGUCGGCCGAGGCGCAGCGGCUCGCGGCGCUGCGGAAGGAGCGGGCGAUCUUCUCCCCUCAACUCGGCAUGCAGGAGCUGAGGGAGUACUUCUACCUCUUUUGGGCGACAGAUACGCGUGCGCAUCCGCGCACGAGGGUACUCCCGGCCGCUGCUUCGGAGCUGGCUCCAAACGGGUACCCAUUCUUCGCGCUAUUCUUCUACUGCGGGCUUUGCCCGCCCUUCUCGGAGUUCUUCUGCGAUAUCAUGAACACAUACGGCUUCCGCCUCCUUGACUUCACCCCCAACGCCGUUCUGACCAUGGCAGUUUUCGCAUAUUUGUGCGAAAACUUUGUCGGAGUCCACCCCAGUGUUGCCCUUUUCCGCCACUACUUCAUACCUCGGGUAGAGAGAGGAGAGCCGCUUGUCGGAGGGAUCGCCUGGAUCUCGAGAGUCGACAAGAAGGAGGCGUACUUGGAGGGUGAGCUCCGCAGCAAGUGGGAUGAGUGGAGAGCGGAGUGGUGCUGGAUUGUCGAGGAGAAUCCGCAGCCCUUCACCGCCAUGCGCCAAACUCCAAUAGUGCGCGGCAAUGACUGGAGCAACGUGGCCCCGGAAGACGAGAGGCUGAAGAUCGCCAUUACUAGGAUCCUUCGCCUCAGGUUUGCCGGGCUUACUGUAGGCGCUGUAGACGCAGAUUUCCUCCGCCGCCGCAUCGCCCCCCUGCAGGAGAGGGGGAGGCCGCCUGGGAAUUCAAGAACUCGGCGGACAUCAUGA
rnacentral:rRNA from 1 species